rnacentral:rRNA from 1 species
UACGAAGGGGGCUAGCGUUGUUCGGAAUUACUGGGCGUAAAGGGCGCGUAGGCGGCUUCGAUAGUCGGGUGUGAAAUGCCUGGGCUCAACCCAGGAACUGCACUCGAAACUUCGAGGCUAGAGUGUGGGAGAGGAUAGUGGAAUUCCCAGUGUAGAGGUGAAAUUCGUAGAUAUUGGGAAGAACACCGGUGGCGAAGGCGGGUCUCUGGGCAGUAACUGACGCUGAGGAGCGAAAGCGUGGGGAGCGAACAGG